UACAGAGGGUGCAAGCGUUGUUCGGAAUUAUUGGGCGUAAAGCGCGUGUAGGCGGCUUUGCAAGUCGGGUGUGAAAGCCCUCAGCUCAACUGAGGAAGUGCGCCCGAAACUGCAGAGCUUGAGUACCGGAGAGGGAUGGUGGAAUUCCCCAAGUAGAGGUGAAAUUCGUAGAUAUGGGGAGGAACACCGGUGGCGAAGGCGACCAUCUGGACGGAUACUGACGCUGAGACGCGAAAGCGUGGGUAGCAAACAGG
rnacentral:rRNA from 1 species